GUCUACAGUCAUACCACCUUGAACACACACUAUUUUAUCUGAUCUUAGAUGCUAAGCAGGGUUGGGCCUGGUUAGUGCUUGGAUGGGAAAGAGAGAGGGGGGGGGAAGGAAAUGGGUAUGCCAGGGUCUCUUACCA
rnacentral:rRNA from 1 species